AUGAAGUGAUUGUUAUUCUUAGACUGUUUGGCUCGGUCUUGCUUGUGGUGGAAU
rnacentral:sRNA from 1 species